UGUUCUCUCUGUGUUGUCAUGUGUUGGCUCAGUCUAUGUUCUGGUUCUACUGGUGUUACUGGUUCUGCUGGUGAGAGGAUGUGUUCAUAGGAAACCUGAAGGUCAGGAAGAAGCUGGAGAAGAUGACAUCAUCACUCAUAUCAUGUACAUCACCAUCAAGAUAUCAAAUAAUCAGAAGCAGCCAAUCAGACGAACUUGAGACUUUAAACCAGAGCCAGACGUCGUCUACUCUUCACUGAAGUAGUCCACCAGUGCAACCACUGACGUCCAGCUGCUGGUCUCUAACUGGUCCUCCACCACUUUAGACCAGAGGACAUCCACGUGUUCAAAAUAAAUUUACAUUUAGUUGCUUUUUCUCACUAAAUUAGAUUUAGGGAAUUUUGCUUCUCUGCUUUUACUCAAAAAUCAGAUCCUCUUUUUAUCUGGGAUUAUUUCUUCCUGCAAAAUCACCAAGGAGAAUCUAAAUAAGUUAAUCUGCUUUGUCCUUAAAGUUUUUCUGGUUAGUUUUCAAAAUUUCCAUUGCACUUUAUACCUUUUCUGUAAUAGUGUCUUUGUAGUAUUUGUACAUUAAUAAUAAAGAUUGAAUA